rnacentral:tRNA from 1 species
GGUGGCUCAGUGGUAGAGUACUUGCCUUGCAUGCAUGAGGCCCUGGGUUUGAAUCCUCAGCACCA